ACAGCCACAUUGUAAACACCGUUUCUCGUCCGAUCACCGAAGUUAAGCAACGUUGGGCCUGGUCAGUAUUUGGGAGGGUGACAUUCGGCGACUUU